UAGAUGGAGGCUUGCAGGUUUAGGGCGUCUAGCUGUUAACUAGAAGUUUGUGGGAUCGAGGCCCGCCCAUCUA
rnacentral:tRNA from 1 species